rnacentral:rRNA from 1 species
CAGUCGCCGCGGUAAUACGAAGGGUGCAAGCGUUAAUCGGAAUUACUGGGCGUAAAGCGUGCGUAGGCGGUGAGUUAAGUCUGCUGUGAAAUCCCCGGGCUCAACCUGGGAAUGGCAGUGGAUACUGGCUCGCUAGAGUGUGUCAGAGGAUGGUGGAAUUCCCGGUGUAGCGGUGAAAUGCGUAGAGAUCGGAAGGAACAUCUGUGGCGAAGGCGACUAUCUGGGCCAACACUGACACUGAGGCACGAAAGCGUGGGGAGCAAACAGGAUUAGAUACCCGGGUAGUCCCUGUCUCUUAUAC